CCUAGUUUCUUAAGGAUUCAGGGCAUGGAAAGUAAAACAUUGACUAUGUGCCAAUAAUGGAGACACCAGGUUGUUACCAGGCUGGAGUGCAUUGGUACCGUCACGGCUCACUGCAGCCUCCACGUCCUGGGCUCAAGGGAUCCUCCUAUCUCAGCCUCCCAAGUAGCUGGGUCUACAGGUAUACUCUACCACCCCAGCUUAAUCAUUUUUAAUACUGCGUUUUCUUGGGGGUAAGGGAAAUAAGGAGUUAAAUGUAAAACCGUUUUACUUAUAAAAGGCUAAGAAUAUUUGGUAAGAACUUGGAAUAAUCAAGGAAGCAAAACAAAGUAGAUUUUAUAAUUUUGCUGGAUAGUUUUUUUUGUUUUUUGUUUUUUUUUUCUUUUUUGGAGAUGGAGUCUCACUCUGUCACCCAGGCUGGAGUACAGUGGUGUGAUCUUGGCUUACUGCAGCCUACACCUCCUGGGUUCAAGCAAUUCUCCUGCCUCAGCCUCCCAAGUAGCUGGGAUUGCAGGUGUGCACCACCACACCUGGCUAAUUUUUUAUCUUUUUAGUAGAGAUGGGGUUUCGCCACGUUGGCCAGGCUGGUCUUGAACUCCUGACCUCAGGUGAUCCACCCUCCUCAGCCUCCCAAAUUGCUGGGAUUACAGGCAUGAGCCACUGCGCCCGGCUGAUUUAUUUUGUUAAGUAAGUUAAUGUGCAGAUCUGAAGUUAGGUAAUUAUACACAGGCAUUUUCCUGGGACAAACUUCAAGUGCCAGGUACUUGCACUCUUAAUACUGUCUUACCAUCCAGUUAUAACUGGACAAAAUAUACACUUGAGACACGGAAAAGGUCUUAGCCUUAAACAUGAUGACAUCGUAAGCUUCUUACAGCAGUGUAAUUGAGGCAUGGAGAUAAUGUCUUCAAGGUUCCCCUUCUGUGUACAUGUCUUAUGUAGGAUAAUAUUCUUAACAUUUUAUUCACUUCAAGUCACCCCAUUUUGCCCUGAUUUCUUCUGAAGAACAGAAACUUUGGUUAUAAGAAGCACUUCUGGGUUCUGACAGACAGUGAACCUGCUGGAGUCGGUGGUGGGGAGGAAUGGUAGGUAACUGGGAGGUAAGCAACAGGAACAAUAGGCAAGGUUAGAAAAUGAAGUGGGAGAAGUUAUAAAAAUUUAUUUUCCCACGAAAUAAUUCCACAAGCUGUGUAAACAUUUCUUACUAAAACAAAUACUCUAACACACAAAGAUUGUACAUUUCCAGUGAAACACUCACAGUAAAAUUGCCUGUAUUUUCACUCUCUAGGAGCAAAAACAAGGAGGCAGCAGAUGAAUGCUUUCCUAGUUACCUUUGGCAGCAAGCUUACUCACAUUCCCUGACUGCUCAAUGGGUUAUUAAAGCAACAUACAGCACAAUUAAAUACAGAGCCAGGUGGGCAGAAUGCUCGAUAUCAGUCUCUAGUUUCUUCAUUAGUCUUCAGCAUUCCAAUUCAUCUCAACCAUUCAGUCACUCGGUGCACACUUUCUUACAUACGGACACACACACGUGCAUAUAGCGAGUUCCGGCUCGUAGACUCCAGUGCAGUGACUAGAACAGACACUAGCUACUAAGAAUGUGUCACAAUCAGUGUGAACUGUAUGGAGUAGAACAACCUCUGGAGUUUUAUAUUUACCAUAAUUUAUGGUGGAAAUUACAAACUUACAAGGAUGGUAUAACAUUCAGAAUUCAAACCUUUUCAAGUCAAGCAAUCACACAUAUUUACAGUAUGUACACACUUUCUACUAGAAUGAGGAUAGGUGUCUAGACAAUGUUAUUACAAAUUUCCUGAAUGUGGGCAUUUCUAGUCCCUGUAAUUCAUAAAGCAAAUCUGC
rnacentral:lncRNA from 1 species